AAAUGCCUGAUCAAAUUCUUGUCUCUGCAGGCGCCUGGAGGAGGCCAUGAGCGGAUGGGAGCUGGAUCGCCCCUCGGCCUGGCCGUGCCCCCCGGGCCUGCGCAUCCCAGACCAGGAGGGCUUCUCCACCUCCACCAACACCCUCAAGACGCUGAUGCUUCUGGGCUGCUUCUCCGUCUUCUGGACCGCCUACUACCUGCUGGAGGCCUUCCUGUCGCGCCCACGGCCGGGGGUCCGAGAGCGGGGUCCUUGCGGGGGGGCCGCUGUCUGCCGCUGGGCCCCGGAGGGACGGGACGAGACGGAGAUGGAGGAGGGGGUGCCCUUGUGCCGGGGGACGGAGGCCGGGGACGCCGAGGAGGCGCGCUGCCUGCUGGGGGGCCACGAGGAGGGAGAGCGGGGCCAGGACCCCCCCGGACCCGUGGACGCCGCCGAGCGAGACCUCCAGGCCUGCUGACCGUGGCCUCUCCUCCGUCCGACCACGUGUGCCAACUGGGACAACAGCAAGGCCCAAAGGGCACUGGGCUUGGCCCUGGGGUCGGCCUCACCAAAGCGUGGCGCACUGUUGUGCUACGUUACGCUGUAUUGCACAACGCACACACUUUCUGGCCCUUUGCCUUAACUGGCUGGGAAGCCCUUGCGUUUGCAGAUCUUUGCUGAGGCCGGAUGAGCAGAGUCCGAGCAGCCUGGCUACAACUGCUGAGCAGGAGCAGGACCGUUCAGGUACGGAAACACCUGAGUGGGAACCUGCGGAGGAGGAAGAACAGCGUGGGCCAUGUGUCAGUCUAAUCGAUUGGCUGGAAGAAGGAAAGUGCAGCUGCGUAAAAGGCCGGUGUUUGGAACACUUCACCGCGCCAGCCGUGCAUCCUGGAUACCCUUGCACCUUUGCACGGCACUUUCGGAUGCUGGACCUUGGACUACUUUUGGACACCAGACCUGUGCUUUGAACCCUGGGCUGCGCCUUGGAUCUUGGACCCGGACUUGUGUAUUUAGACCUCUUGGAAUGGACACUGGAAUUGCUGCAACAACGGUGUGUCCUGAAUGCCCUUGCACAUUUGCACAGCGUUUGCGGAUACUGGAUUUGUCUGUUGGGCCUUGGACUACGCUUGGACACUCGAACCCUGGAUUGCACCUUGGAUCUCGGACCUGGACUUGUGGUAAACGUUGGUGCAUUUAGACCACUUGGAAUUGGCUCGCUUGUGUUUACUGAACUGCCUCUGGUGUCAAAAGGCCGGUGUUUGGAACACCUCACUGCUGGACGCAACCAUCGUUUGGUGCGACAGCCAUGAAUCCUGGAUGUCCUUGAACUUUUGCACAAUGCUUUCGGAUACUGGACUUGUGCGCUGGGCCUUGGACUACGCUUGGACACCCGACCUGUGCUUUGAACCCUGGACUUGUUGACAUUUGUGGCUCAAAGCCUUUGGGUGCGGAAUCUCUGUUUAUUCUCUGCCUUUGCUUUCGGUGGCCUUUCGGUUGCAGCUUCUCUCCCUCAUUGCUUUGCUGCCCUUGAAAUGGCUUUGCAAUGGCCUUGCAGUGGCCUUGCAAUGAUCUAGCAAUGAUCUAGCAAUGGCUUUGCAAUAGCCUUGCAAUGGCCUUGCAGUGGCUUUGCAGUGAACUUGCAGUAGCCUUGCAAUGGCCUUGCAGUGACCUUGCAAUGGCCUUGCAAUAGUCUAGCAAUGGCUUUGCAAUGGUUUGCAAUCGCUUGCAAUGGCUUUGCAAUGGUCUUGCAGUGUCUUUGCAGUGGCCUUGCAAUAGCCUUGCAAUGGUUUGCAAUGGCCUUGCAGUGUCUUUGCAGUGGCCUUGCAAUGGCCUUGCAAUGGUCUAGCAAUGGCUUUGCAAUGGCUUUGCAAUAGCCUUGCAAUAGCCUUGCAAUGGUUUGUAAUGGCCUUGCAGUGUCUCUGCAAUGGCCUUGCAAUGGUCUAGCAAUGGCUUUGCAAUAGCCUUGCAAUAGCCUUGCAAUGGUUUGUAAUGACCUUGCAGUGUCUUUGCAAUGGCCUUGCAAUGGUCUAGCAAUGGCUUUGCAUUGGCUUUGCAAUGGGAUGAUGGCGGUCAGUGCCAGCAUUCACUGGGCUGCCUUUUUGCAUGGACGUCUGGCCAUUUGUCCAGCCGUUUGUCCAUCCUGGCAUCCCCAAGCCAACACUUGCUCUCUCCUCUAUCCUCUGCCGAUAGAUGCUUUUGGUCAUUGGAGAGAAUGACCUCCUUACCACCAAAGCCAAGGUUGUUAUUCUUGUGAUUAUUAUUGUUUUGAUUACCAUUUUUGUUGGAAAAACAACAACGUCGACAGCCGGGACCUGUUUCUUUUGCAUCUUUCCAAAACUAAACCCACGCUGACCAAAGGUGCCUUUGGAUCCCGCUCCUUGUGUUGCGUGUCAUCGGCCUUGUUGUGUCUAUUUUCCCAGCUUUCCGGACUUGGGGAAAUGGGGACGGAGGCUCCAAAUAAAAGACCAAGAAAGCUUUUUUUUAUUUUAAAAUGUCGUAUAUUUUGUUUUUAAUCGAUGGACGACGACGAUGAAAUACAAAACAGAGGGGAAGAGAAGGGGAUAUAAUUCCUCUCCAUUGUUUACAGCAGGCAUGGGCCAACUUGGGCCUUCCUUUUCGGAUGAAGCACCCAAGUUGGCCCAUGCAAAAGAAUUUUAAAAUUCCCAAAAAAUCAAUAGUUGUGUGUAUUUUUCCGAAACUUGGCAGGAAUGAUCCCCUGUUAUCUAGGGUCAUAGCCUACGAAACCCGAGGCGAUUGCUCUUGUGCUUUUUAAAAAAAUAUAUGUUUUGUAAAAAUAUGGUGAAAAUUCCCCAAAAAUCCAUGCAUGGGUGAAACGCUCCGAAACUUGGCAUGUUAACAGCGGGGAACAUAUUCUAUAAACAUAGCAAAUUUCGCCCCAAUAUCUCCGAAAAUGAGGGAGAAGAGCUCGGGAAGCUUCCCCACAUGCAUGCACGAAAUGAAUUUCGGAACAAAAAACAUUGUAAAAAUUCCCCAAAAAUACAUGCAUGGGUGAAACGCUCCGAAACUUGGCCUGAUAACAGUGGGGAACAUAUUCUAUAAACAUAGCAAAUUUCGCCCUGAUCGCUGCGAAAACGAGGGAGAAAAAACCCCGGAAUCUUCCCCACAAGCAUGCAUGAAAUGAAUUUCGGAACGAAAAACAUGGUAAAAAUUCCCCAUAAAUCCAUGCAUGGGUGAAAUGCUCCAAAACUUGGCAUGCUAACAGCGGGGAACAUAUUCUAUAAACAUAGCAAAUUUCUCCUCUAUAUCUGCAAAAACGAAAGGAGCUCGGGAAGCUUCCCCAAGAGCAUGCACAAAACCAAUUUCGGAACGAAAUUUUCGCCAGGAACGUUUUGGGAACGAAAUGUUGUAAUGAGUUUUGAAUCAUAUUUUUUUGCACAUGGCUAAUGGGAGCGAGGGUGCUUUUUGCAGCCAAGCAGGGAUUGCAAAGGAAGGAAAGGAUGGAUGGAAGGAGGUUGUCGGGGUGUGUUGGGGGUCUUGCGGGGGUCCGGAGGCGGCCUUAGCUGAUGAUCUGCCUGGGCCGCCCGUAGCCCGUCAUGCCCGCCUGCGAAGCCCCCUGGUUGGACCCCAUUUGCAGCCCGAUGAUGCUCUUGCCUUCCUUCAGCUGCUUCUCGGAGAAGUCGCGCUUGUGCUCCUGGGCUUUCCUGCAGCGGAGACCGAGACAACGAUGUCAACAACGCUUGGGAUCCAGGUGUCUUGGACUGCAAUUCCCACCAUUCCGAACCACUAGUUGGCUGUUAGGAAUGGUGGGAGUUGCAGUCCAAGACACCCGGAGGGCCGAAGUUGGCCCAGGCCUGAGAGUUUGCAUGUAAAGAAUAUUUCAAGGCAUUUGCAAGGGUAAGUAUGGUGAUCGUAUGGUGUAAGCCAGGGGUCCCCAAACAAACCCGUGGUCCAGAUACGGUCCUCCAAGGCCAUUGACUGGACCCCGCCCUCAGUUUUAGACUGAGGCUCGCCCAAAGUCUGAAAUGACUUGAAGGCACACAACAACAACAACAAUCCUAAUUAACUUGACUAUUUCGUUGGCCAGAAGCAGGCUCACACUUCCCAUUGAAAUCCUCAUAGGUUUGUUAGUUAAAAUUGUUCUUAUUUUUAAAUAUUGUAUUGUGCUUUCUUUCUUUCUUUUUUUGCAAUACAAAUAAGACAUGUGCAGUGUCUGUAGGAAUUUCUUUGUAAUUUUUUCCAAACUAUAAUUUCCCCCCCAACACUCUACGGGACCGUGGACCCUUUGGCUCACUGCAACUCCCAGGAUUGCAUCGCAUUGAGCCGUCAAAUAAUCAUAUAGUAACAUAAUAAUGUGAUAAUAUAGUAAUCUAUAUAUAUAUAAGAGUGAUGGCAUCACGGCGACCCACAAAACAACAAAACUACAGGCCCCCCAACCUCGAAAAUUGACAACACAACCCAUCAUCCACGCCUCUAGGUUGAGACAACAAAAAGAAAACAAAAAUAAAGUCCUAAUUAGAGAGAGAGGAAUAAUUGCUUUUAUCCAAUGGCUGCCAGUUAGAAGGCUAAGCUCCUCCAACUUGGUCUCCUAGCAACCCAAUAAAAAAUAAUAAAAAACACUAAAAAUUAGUACAAUAAAAUAAUAUAAUAACAGAAAAUAACUAAAAAUAAUACAAGAAAAUAAAUAAAAAAAUAUAACUUACAAUAAAAUUAAUUAAAAAAUGCAAAUAACGUCAAAUAAAAAUUACACAACAAUUUUUAACCAAUACCACCACCACUUUGCCACAGCAACGCGUGGCCGGGCACAGCUAGUAUGAUAUAAUUGUAUAAAAGUUUAAGGACCCUUGGUCAUUGAGUGGCGAUGGCAAUCCUAUUUAUUAUUGCUAUUAUUAUUAUUAUUAUUAUCCUACUAUUAUCCUAUUAUUAUUAUCCUAUUUAUUAUUGCUCCUAUGGCGCAGCGGGUUAAACUGCUGGGCUGCUGAACUUGCUGACUGAACGGUUGCCAGGUUCGAAUCUGGGGGGAGCGGGGGAGCUCCCACUAUUAGCCCCAGCUUCUGCCAACCUACGGUAAAGGUUUUCCUCUGACAUUAAGCCCAGUCGUGUCCGACUUCUGUGGGUCGGUGCUCAUAUCCAUUUGCUAA
rnacentral:lncRNA from 1 species